AACGAACGCUGGCGGCAGGCUUAACACAUGCAAGUCGAGCGCCCCGCAAGGGGAGCGGCAGACGGGCGAGUAACGCGUGGGAAUCUACCCAUCUCUACGGAAUAACGCAUGGAAACGUGUGCUAAUGCCGUAUACGUCCUUCGGGAGAAAGAUUUAUCGGAGAUGGAUGAGCCCGCGUUGGAUUAGCUAGUUGGUGGGGUAAAGGCCUACCAAGGCGACGAUCCAUAGCUGGUCUGAGAGGAUGAUCAGCCACACUGGGACUGAGACACGGCCAGACUCCUACGGGAGGCAGCAGUGGGGAAUAUUGGACAAUGGGCGCAAGCCUGAUCCAGCCAUGCCGCGUGAGUGAUGAAGGCCCUAGGGUUGUAAAGCUCUUUCACCGGUGAAGAUAAUGACGGUAACCGGAGAAGAAGCCCCGGCUAACUUCGUGCCAGCCGCCGCGGUAACAC
rnacentral:rRNA from 1 species